CUUAGAGGUCUCAUUUUUAAAAUCUAGCUUAGCUCUAGUAUAGAUACUAGACGUGGCUCUAGCCUCUAGUUUCGCUCUGAAGCUCUCAUAUAAUGUCCCGGUCUUUCAGUUUAAGUAUUAAAGAUCUGCAUCAGCUCACAGGCACACUGAGUGACGUUUACUUUGAUAAGACUAAAUGGUUUGACCUUGGAUUAUCGCUUCAUCUACCUGAAACGGAGCUUAAAGCUAUAAAAGAUGAUUGUAGUAGCGAUUCUCAUAAAUGUCUACGUGAAUGUCUGUGCUUGUGGUUGAAGUCAGCUGGAAGCCCUCAGGCUCAGGUUCUUGCAAAUGCUCUUGAUGAUAUUUCAA